rnacentral:tRNA from 1 species
AGGGGUGUAGCUCAGUGGUAGAGUACAUGUUUAGCAUGCAUGAGGUCCCGGGUUCAAUCCCCAGUACCUCCA